rnacentral:tRNA from 1 species
GGUGCUGUGGCUUAGAGGAAGAGCACUUGCCUAGUAUGCAUGAGGCACUGAGGUUUGAUCCUCAGCACCA